rnacentral:lncRNA from 1 species
GGAAUUUGUUGGAAUGAUUGUUGUGUCAUGGAAUAUGUGGGGAAACUGGAAACUGGAAUCCUUCCCUAAAUAAGACACCUCUCUCUCUGCAUUACUCUUCUUCUGUCUCAUUGUUUUGGGGCUGUGCUUUAUUUUUCUCUCUCCUUGCAGCCUGCCUUGACAGUCUCUGCAGACACCUGCUUCUUUGGCCCUGAGCUGCUGACCUUGAGUUCUGAGUAGACCUGUGGUGUCCUUCUCCUUGAGUGAAAUUACAUCUUACCUGGAGGCUAGGUUUGGAAGUCGGCAUGUCAGUGGCACCAGAAGCCAUAUGCAUCCAGGAGAAACCAUGCUUGGGUGUGAAUUGUGGGCGAAUGAGGAUGAGUCUGCUCUGGGAUCCUCUCCUGAGAUGGGCCUAGGCUGGGCUGCCUGUCCCUAGGCAAGAACAAAGAUCAUUUUAGGGGCAGGUGACUUAACAUCUCUGAGCCGCAAAUUCUUCCUUUGCAAAAGAGACAUACCUACAUCAGAGCACUGUCAUGAGAAGCCCAGUGAGGAAUUAUGGCAAAGACUGAAUGCUGUAUUGGCACGAAGGAAAUGUUGGAGAAACGGCAGCUAUUACUGUCAUCAUUGUGGCUGGCAGAUCCCCCUACUCCUACCUGAGGCUUAGGGCAGUAUUGUUAAGACUAAUUUAGUUCCCAGAAAAGAUGUGUUAAUUGGAUUAUUACAUUUUUCCUGUGUUUACACUAUAUGUACAUGCAUGACUUUGAAAUCUACACAGUUAUAUACUUAUCCAUUGAAUUCUCUCUUUUAAAAAUGUGUAAGAAUUGCAUUUUUGAGUCAUUGAACUAUAAUGAAAUUGUUUUUUCACAGAAAGAAUGUUACAAGUAAUCAUCAUAUAGGCCACCAAAAUGGAGAAUAAUGUAGAAAUGGAAGUUAAGAGAAAACCAAAAGAGAGACCUAAUGUUAAUACGUGGCCAGAAUGCAUAUUUUUAUAGCCUGAUUAUUUAAAAAUACUGGCGUUUGCUUGUACUGUUUAGGGUUGGAUGAUACAAAUGAAGCUGUUUGGGAUUGGAAUAAAUAUUUUUUUGACUAAUGCUAUAACUUGUAGACUUGUAAUCAGGAGUGGCUUAUCAGCAGCUUUUCAAAAUGUGACAUUGUACAUGGAAUGCCCCCAUGGAGGAAAUUGAACGCUCUGUUAAUGCUUUUACAGUUGAAUUCCACACACAUGAAUUAUGACAAGUGAGGCUGACUACAUUGUGGUUUGUUGUGUCUGGUCUGGUUCCUACUUUUAAAGUUGCAGUUGCAUUUGGUCAUUUGAAGCUUAUUUUCACAGUCUGGCCAAGCCAGCAGGGUCUCAGGUCUCUGCAGGGGACAUAAACCGCC